UACGUAGGGGGCAAGCGUUGUCCGGAAUCAUUGGGCGUAAAGCGCGUGUAGGCGGCCCAGUAAGUCCGCUGUGAAAGCCCAGGGCUCAACCCUGGGAUGCCGGUGGAUACUGUUGGGCUCGAGUCCGGAAGAGGCGAGUGGAAUUCCCGGUGUAGCGGUGAAAUGCGCAGAUAUCGGGAGGAACACCAAUGGCGAAGGCAGCUCGCUGGGACGUGACUGACGCUGAGACGCGAAAGCGUGGGGAGCGAACAGG
rnacentral:rRNA from 1 species